rfam:Lactobacillus agilis DSM 20509 NODE_289, whole genome shotgun sequence.
CACAGUAAAGAUAAGAUUACUUAUAUAAUUGUGGAAUAUGGCCACCAGUUUCUACCUAGAACCGUAAAUUCUAGACUAUAAGUAAGCGUCGGCAUUAG